rnacentral:rRNA from 1 species
UACGUAGGGGGCUAGCGUUGUCCGGAUUUAUUGGGCGUAAAGAGCGUGUAGGCGGCCAGGUAGGUCUGGUGUGAAAACUCGAGGCUUAACCUCGAGAUGUCAUCGGAAACCAUCUGGCUAGAGUCCGGAAGAGGAGAGUGGAAUUCCUGGUGUAGCGGUGAAAUGCGUAGAGAUCAGGAAGAACACCGGUGGCGAAGGCGCUCUGCUAGGCCGCAACUGACACUGAGGGACGAAAGCUAGGGGAGCGAAUGGG